UCCUGGUUAGCUCAGUUGAUAAAAACGCUCCACUGGAAAUAGAGAGGUCCCUGGUUCAAUACCAGGACCAGGCA
rnacentral:tRNA from 1 species